GAUGAACGCUGGCGGCGUGCCUAAUACAUGCAAGUCGAGCGAACAGACGAGGAGCUUGCUCCUCUGACGUUAGCGGCGGACGGGUGAGUAACACGUGGAUAACCUACCUAUAAGACUGGGAUAACUUCGGGAAACCGGAGCUAAUACCGGAUAAUAUAUUGAACCGCAUGGUUCAAUAGUGAAAGACGGUUUUGCUGUCACUUAUAGAUGGAUCCGCGCCGCAUUAGCUAGUUGGUAAGGUAACGGCUUACCAAGGCAACGAUGCGUAGCCGACCUGAGGGGGUGAUCGGCCACACUGGAACUGAGACACGGUCGAGACUCAUACGAGAGGCAGCAGUGGGGAAUCUACAGCAAUGGGCGAAAGCCUGACGGAGCAACGCCGCGGGAGUGAUGAAGGUCUUCGGAUCGUAAAACGCUGUUAUUAGGGAAGAACAAAUGUGUAAGUAACUAUGCACGUCUUGACGGUACCUAAUCAGAAAGCCACGGCUAACUACGU
rnacentral:rRNA from 1 species